rnacentral:rRNA from 1 species
GGGUUGUGAGGUUAAGCGACUAAGCGUACACGGUGGAUGCCCUGGCAGUCAGAGGCGAUGAAGGACGUGCUAAUCUGCGAAAAGCGUCGGUAAGGUGAUAUGAACCGUUAUAGCCGGCGAUGUCCGAAUGGGGAAACCCAGUGCAAUUCGUUGCACUAUCGUUUGAUGAAUACAUAGUCAAACGAGGCGAACCGGGGGAACUGAAACAUCUAAGUACCCCGAGGAAAAGAAAUCAACCGAGAUUCCCCCAGUAGCGGCGAGCGAACGGGGAGCAGCCCGGAGUCUGAAUCAGCUUGUGUGUUAGUGGAAGCGUCUGGAAAGUCGCAGGGUACAGGGUGAUACUCCCGUACACUAAAACACACAGGCUGUGAACUCGAAGAGUAGGGCGGGACACGUGGUAUCCUGUCUGAAUAUGGGGGGACCAUCCUCCAAGGCUAAAUACUCCUGACUGACCGAUAGUGAACCAGUACCGUGAGGGAAAGGCGAAAAGAACCCCGGCGAGGGGAGUGAAAAAGAACCUGAAACCGUGUACGUACAAGCAGUAGGAGCCUCUUUAUGGGGUGACUGCGUACCUUUUGUAUAAUGGGUCAGCGACUUAUAUUCUGUAGCAAGGUUAACCGUAUAGGGGAGCCGCAGGGAAACCGAGUCUUAACUGGGCGUUAAGUUGCAGGGUAUAGACCCGAAACCCGGUGAUCUAGCCAUGGGCAGGUUGAAGGUUGGGUAACACUAACUGGAGGACCGAACCGACUAAUGUUGAAAAAUUAGCGGAUGACUUGUGGCUGGGGGUGAAAGGCCAAUCAAACCGGGAGAUAGCUGGUUCUCCCCGAAAGCUAUUUAGGUAGCGCCUCGUGAAUUCAUCUUCGGGGGUAGAGCACUGUUUCGGCUAGGGGGUCAUCCCGACUUACCAACCCGAUGCAAACUACGAAUACCGAAGAAUGUUAUCACGGGAGACACACGGCGGGUGCUAACGUCCGUCGUGAAGAGGGAAACAACCCAGACCGCCAGCUAAGGUCCCAAAGUCAUGGUUAAGUGGGAAACGAUGUGGGAAGGCCCAGACAGCCAGGAUGUUGGCUUAGAAGCAGCCAUCAUUUAAAGAAAGCGUAAUAGCUCACUGGUCGAGUCGGCCUGCGCGGAAGAUGUAACGGGGCUAAACCAUGCACCGAAGCUGCGGCAGCGACACUAUGUGUUGUUGGGUAGGGGAGCGUUCUGUAAGCCGUUGAAGGUGGCCUGUGAGGGUUGCUGGAGGUAUCAGAAGUGCGAAUGCUGACAUAAGUAACGAUAAUGCGGGUGAAAAACCCGCACGCCGGAAGACCAAGGGUUCCUGUCCAACGUUAAUCGGGGCAGGGUGAGUCGACCCCUAAGGCGAGGCCGAAAGGCGUAGUCGAUGGGAAACAGGUUAAUAUUCCUGUACUCGGUGUUACUGCGAAGGGGGGACGGAGAAGGCUAUGUUGGCCGGGCGACGGUUGUCCCGGUUUAAGCAUGUAGGCGGAUGUUCCAGGUAAAUCCGGAACGUUAUUAACGCUGAGGUGUGAUGACGAGGCACUACGGUGCUGAAGUGACAAAUGCCCUGCUUCCAGGAAAAGCCUCUAAGCAUCAGGUAACAUCAAAUCGUACCCCAAACCGACACAGGUGGUCAGGUAGAGAAUACCAAGGCGCUUGAGAGAACUCGGGUGAAGGAACUAGGCAAAAUGGUGCCGUAACUUCGGGAGAAGGCACGCUGAUAUGUAGGUGAAGUGGUUUACCCAUGGAGCUGAAAUCAGUCGAAGAUACCAGCUGGCUGCAACUGUUUAUUAAAAACACAGCACUGUGCAAACACGAAAGUGGACGUAUACGGUGUGACGCCUGCCCGGUGCCGGAAGGUUAAUUGAUGGGGUUAUCCGUAAGGAGAAGCUCUUGAUCGAAGCCCCGGUAAACGGCGGCCGUAACUAUAACGGUCCUAAGGUAGCGAAAUUCCUUGUCGGGUAAGUUCCGACCUGCACGAAUGGCGUAAUGAUGGCCAGGCUGUCUCCACCCGAGACUCAGUGAAAUUGAACUCGCUGUGAAGAUGCAGUGUACCCGCGGCAAGACGGAAAGACCCCGUGAACCUUUACUAUAGCUUGACACUGAACACUGGUCCUUGAUGUGUAGGAUAGGUGGGAGGCUUUGAAGUGUGGACGCCAGUCUGCAUGGAGCCAUCCUUGAAAUACCACCCUUUAAUGGCUGGUGUUCUAACGUGGGCCCCUAAUCGGGGUUGCGGACAGUGUCUGGUGGGUAGUUUGACUGGGGCGGUCUCCUCCUAAAGAGUAACGGAGGAGCACGAAGGUCAGCUAAUCCUGGUCGGACAUCAGGAGGUUAGUGCAAUGGCAUAAGCUGGCUUGACUGCGAGCGUGACGGCGCGAGCAGGUGCGAAAGCAGGUCAUAGUGAUCCGGUGGUUCUGAAUGGAAGGGCCAUCGCUCAACGGAUAAAAGGUACUCCGGGGAUAACAGGCUGAUACCGCCCAAGAGUUCAUAUCGACGGCGGUGUUUGGCACCUCGAUGUCGGCUCAUCACAUCCUGGGGCUGAAGUAGGUCCCAAGGGUAUGGCUGUUCGCCAUUUAAAGUGGUACGCGAGCUGGGUUUAGAACGUCGUGAGACAGUUCGGUCCCUAUCUGCCGUGGGCGCUGGAGAAUUGAGGGGGGCUGCUCCUAGUACGAGAGGACCGGAGUGGACGCAUCACUGGUGUUCGGGUUGUCAUGCCAAUGGCAUUGCCCGGUAGCUAAAUGCGGAAGAGAUAAGUGCUGAAAGCAUCUAAGCACGAAACUUGCCCCGAGAUGAGUUCUCCCUGACCCUUUAAGGGUCCUGAAGGAACGUUGAAGACGACGACGUUGAUAGGCCGGGUGUGUAAGCGCAGCGAUGCGUUGAGCUAACCGGUACUAAUGAACCGUGAGGCUUAACCUUACAACGCCGAAG